GCUGGGCGCUGGGCGGGGCGGGCGGCGGAGCCUCCCCUCGCUGUACGCGCUGCCCGGCUCGGUUCUUGUCAGUUAGCAACAAAAUGGCCGCGGCGGCAGCAGCUGUGCUACCGAGAACGGCGGCGGUGGCGAUAACGACUACGACGACGGUGGUGGUGGUGGCAGAAGCAGCGGUGGUGGUGGUGGAGGUGGAGGCGUCCGAAUCGGCGGCGCGGAGGAGCAGCGGGGGCCCGGCUCAGCAGCACUGAGCGGACACCGAGAGCGAGCGGCGGAGAGCGGCCCCCAACCCGCUGCACGAACCCCCCGCCCCGGGGGCAUCUCCGCUGCGUUCCCCCCUUCAUUCCUUACCCCCAACCGGAGGGACUCGGCCGGAUCCUUCCCCUCCCGCUGCUUCCUGCGGUGCGGAUCGUCCCGGGAGGGCGCUGUUGUUACUAAGGGGGGGGUGUUCCUUUACGGGACCGUGCUUUAUUUGGCUGAUUUGAUUCUGUCCUGUUUUUAUUUGCACUUUUUCACCUCCCUCAGAUGCUCCUUUACUCGGACUGAACCUACCGGGAAGCGGCAGAGCCCGUCCCGACCCGGUUCGGAUCUUGUUUGCAACGCGGACCGUGGUGCGUUAAGCACGGACUGAGCCGCGCCGGGAUCCGCAGCGCUCCGUGUGUUCGCCUCCAUCUCCUCCUCUGUGCCGUUUAUCCCCUUUGGAGGGUUUAUAGACAAAACGACGACAAGAAACUUUAAUUUUUAAAGAAUUAUUAUUACUAUUUUUAUUUUUUUUUUGGCCGCGUUGAGAUUUUUUUUCUUUUUUUUUUUUUUAAUUUUUUUCUCGCAUCGAUUCGUGAAAUUACGGGUACAAUUAACGGAAAGAGAGAAAGGGGGAGGGAGAGGUUAAAAAUAAAAAGGGGGGGUGGGGGGGGGGAAGAAAGAAAAUCAACCGCCACCAACACAACCCGCAACCUAAGGAAGGAAAACGUCUGUGAGACCCCUCCGUUAGGCGACAUCCCUGCGACACCGACCCGAAAGCUGCCAAAGAGCCCCGCACAGAGCAGGACACAAGGGAGAAAGAAGAAGAAACACAAGAAGAGGAACAUUUGAUGGAA